CACGUAGGCACCAAGCGUUUGUCCGGAAUUAUUGGGCGUAAAGAGCUCGUAGGCGGUUUGUCGCGUCGGCCGUGAAAACUUGGGGCUUAACCCCAAGCUUGCGGUCGAUACGGGCAGACUUGAGUUCGGCAGGGGAGACUGGAAUUCCUGGUGUAGCGGUGAAAUGCGCAGAUAUCAGGAGGAACACCGGUGGCGAAGGCGGGUCUCUGGGCCGAUACUGACGCUGAGGAGCGAAAGCGUGGGGGAGCAAACAGG
rnacentral:rRNA from 1 species